rnacentral:rRNA from 1 species
ACUUAGUGGCGGACGGGUGAGUAACGCGUGGGUAACCUGCCCUGUACAGGGGGACAACAGCUGGAAACGGCUGCUAAUACCGCAUAAGCCCUUAGCACUGCAUGGUGCAUAGGGAAAAGGAGUAAUCCGGUACAGGAUGGACCCGCGUCUGAUUAGCCAGUUGGCAGGGUAACGGCCUACCAAAGCGACGAUCAGUAGCCGAUCUGAGAGGAUGUACGGCCACAUUGGGACUGAGACACGGCCCAGACUCCUACGGGAGGCAGCAGUGGGGAAUAUUGCACAAUGGAGGAAACUCUGAUGCAGCGACGCCGCGUGAGUGAAGAAGUAUUUCGGUAUGUAAAGCUCUAUCAGCAGGGAAGAAAAUGACGGUACCUGACUAAGAAGCACCGGCUAAAUACGUGCCAGCAGCCGCGGUAAUACGUAUGGUGCAAGCGUUAUCCGGAUUUACUGGGUGUAAAGGGAGCGUAGGUGGCAAGGCAAGCCAGAAGUGAAAACCCGGGGCUCAACCGCGGGAUUGCUUUUGGAACUGUCAUGCUAG